GGAGGGAACCGGGAGGGAGGCGGCGGCGCCGAGGCGGCGGCGGCGGCGGCAACUUUUCCGCGCCGGACUCGUGGGCGGAGUGGGGGUGCGCCCGGCGGGUUCCCAGCCCUUCGCGAGGGGGAGGCGCCGCCCCGCCGCCGGUGGCUGGGGGGCAGCGGGGAUCGUGCAUCUGGCGGCGGCGGCGGCGGCAGAGUCCCGGGGCGCCCCCUACGGAGCGGGGGAAGGGCGGCCCAACCUUUACCCGCUCCCCGGGAGCCCACUGGGGACCCCUAGCCACUCCCCCCACCGGAGACCCAUGAGACCCAUGGGAGGGUGGUGGGGAGGGCGGGUCCCACAGAGACUGGGGCAGGUCAAGGUGGGCAGGGAGUCAGCGGCUGGGUGGGAAGGGGGAGGGCAUAUGCCGGGCUUGGGGUUAGGAGGGAUGGAUAUGCACAGUGCCUGGGCUCCUGGGGUGCCUAUUUGGCCUUUGGUGGGGAUGGGGCGGAGGAGUGGGUGGGGGUCUCCCAGAGUUCCAUGGAUGGCGGGUGACAGUGGUUCUAGUUCUCCACUUGUAAGCCAAUGAGUGGAGGGGAGGCCUUCCACUGAGGAGAUGGGGUGGGGGCCCAGUAUUGCGGGCCCCAGCUUGGUGGAGAUUGGGUGACCCCUCUCUUCUCUCCUGGCUCCUCUUGACCCAGGAGAGAAGCGCUCAUUUAGGGUUGCUUAGGAAGGGGGCCCCGGGUUUGGGAGAUUCCUGGAGGGCUGACUCCCCAGCCCUGUGUAGCAGCAGUCCUCAUGCCCUUGGGCUGCGGAAGGGUGGAAGGGCCCAGACUAAAACCUGAACCUUGCAUUCUAGCCCCACACUGACCUCUGACCCCAGCACUGGACUUGACCGCCACCAAAGCCCCCAGCCCUACACUGACUUGCCUAUCCAGCCCAGCCAGGCCCAGCCCGACCCCAUGGCCUCCUGAAUGCCUUGAAGGUGCAGUUGGCUCUCUGUCACCUGCCCCCUCCCUGCCUCAGCCCUAACCAGCUGCCUGCUCAUGAUGAAGGGUGUUGUAUGAGGGUGCCAGCCGCUGGCCCCGCCCAGUGCCCCCCCACCCCUGUGCCAUGGCCGGCUGGGGUUCCUGGGGAUGGGAUUUGCUGCCUGUCACAAAUCACAUUGCCAGGGAUUUCCAACCGACCCUGAGCCCUGCCUCUGGGGCUGCCGCCACCACCGCCACUGCUGAGGACACUGCCCGGGGACGGGGACGGGGGUGGGUGGCAGAGAGGCCCCUGCCGUCUGCAUCUGGCCUGGGGAGCAGGGCUUAGCUGCUUGUGAGCAGAGUCCACACCAAGUCGUGUUCACAGUGGCUAAGUUCCGCCCCCCGGGACCCCGCCUCCUCGGGCUCUGCCGCUGCGCCUGCCUGUGCCACUGCCUGGGCCUCCCUGGGCUCUGCCUCCCGUGCCUACUGAGCUGAAACACAGUUGAUUUGUGCAGACUGGCUCAGUUCAGCAGGAACAGGAGUCGAGCCCCCUCGGAGCCUGUGGCGCCUGCCUUCCUUGGGUGGGCUGAUGCUUGGGGAAAAGACCCAGAUCCGUGUCUGGAGGAGGGACUUGGGGAGGGAUGUAGCCUGGAAUAGGGUAGGUGGGCCCAGCUGUCUGCUGCAGGCACCCUCCCCCAACUCUGUACUUGGGGAGGGCCACCCCCACCCCUGCACAGUCCUGCCUAUACUGCCACAGUACACAUGGGCUGUACUCCUGGGGAGAACGGGCAGGUAGGUGGUUGGCCCUUCCAUGAAAAAGGGAAAACCUGUGUCUGCACACCCCUGCCAGCAACAACCCUCCCAUCCUGGAGCCUUGGUCCUUCCUCUCCCAAGCCUGGUGGGGCCUAGGCCAGGCCUGUACCUUCCCAGCAGCCAGUUACUCAAGAGGAAGCUGUCUUGGGCCCCCAGACCGUUAAAUGCCAACUCCAGCUUCCGGAACCAGGCCGGCCUGACCUGAGUGUGCCUGGCCCCUUCUCACUGAGCCCUGCAGCUUCCUAACUCAGGGGGAGGAGCCGUGACACCCUCCUGGCACGUGGGGUGGGGAGCAAGGUUCCUGUGAGCCCAGAAAGGACACAAAUGGGCCUUUUCAGUCCUCGGAUGGUCCCAAGGUAUCCAAGAGUUGAGACUGUCCAGUAUCAGAUGGGAUGGGGCUCUUUUUGGAGAAAGGGGGGGGGAAAGAGAGAGAAGCCCCCUAGGGUGUCAGGGCUGGCCUGGCGUACCUUUCCCACCCAUGGUAGGGGCGGACAUGAGCUUGGGGCAGGGUCUGUGUUGUGUUUCUCCUGUUGUCCAAUUAAAUAAAAGCUGCCUCCUGCCUCAGUCCUGAA